GUAUACCUACGUAUUGAUUCUAGGCAAAUUUGACAAAAGUUAUUGAGCAAUAUCGGAUACGUUUACAAGUGUAAAUCAACCUUUUCAUGAACUGUCACAUAUACUCUAUCAUUUCAAAUAUCUAAACGCUUAGAACUUUUUCCUGUUUUGCCCAAUUCUUACUUCUUAUGUUGAUUAUAAUAAAAAAUUGUUAAAAUUUUUGUUUUCGUUAAAAAGGUUUUAUUUGUUACUUUUUCUAGCGUUCCUUGAACAUAAUUAUACCAUUUAAUAUGGAAAUGAACAUAACCUUACAAACUCACUAGAGGCAUUCGACGUCUUUUUUAUGCUAUAAAAACUUUCAAAUGCUCCUAGUGUGUACUAAACGGGCAAAAUGUAAUACUAAUAAUAAACUGUUAUUUUGAUGUGUUUGUGACUAUUGUAAUAUAUUUAAGGUCUUCGAAGUUAGUCGUAAUGUUUUUGUUUGGAGACCUACGCCCGGAGAAGGCGUGAGCUCUUAUAAUGUGACUUAUGCCUUUUCUAAGGCGACUGCUGUACAUUCGUAAUAUAAGCAUCGCUAUCUGUACUGUAUUGCUUAAGGUAUUGGUUAAUAAAAAAAUAAUAAAUAAAACAACUAUUUAAA